rnacentral:rRNA from 1 species
GACGAACGCUGGCGGCGUGCUUAACACAUGCCAGUCGAACGGAAAGGCCCUGCUUUUGUGGGGUGCUCGAGUGGCGAACGGGUGAGUAACACGUGAGUAACCUGCCCUUGACUUUGGGAUAACUUCAGGAAACUGGGGCUAAUACCGGAUAGGAGCUCCUGCUGCAUGGUGGGGGUUGGAAAGUUUCGGCGGUUGGGGAUGGACUCGCGGCUUAUCAGCUUGUUGGUGGGGUAGUGGCUUACCAAGGCUUUGACGGGUAGCCGGCCUGAGAGGGUGACCGGCCACAUUGGGACUGAGAUACGGCCCAGACUCCUACGGGAGGCAGCAGUGGGGAAUAUUGCACAAUGGGCGGAAGCCUGAUGCAGCAACGCCGCGUGCGGGAUGACGGCCUGCGGGUUGUAAACCGCUUUCGCCUGUGACGAAGCGUGAGUGACGGUAAUGGGUAAAGAAGCACCGGCUAACUACGUG